ACGGAGGGUGCGAGCGUUGCUCGGAAUUACUGGGCGUAAAGGGUGCGUAGGCGGUCUUUCAAGUCUGGUGUGAAAGCCCAGGGCUCACCCCUGGAAGUGCACCAGAAACUGAUAGACUUGAGUACCGGAGGGGAGAGUGGAAUUCCCGGUGUAGCGGUGAAAUGCGUAGAUAUCGGGAGGAAUACCGGUGGCGAAAGCGACUCUCUGGACGGUUACUGACGCUGAGGCACGAAAGCGUGGGGAGCAAACAGG
rnacentral:rRNA from 1 species